rnacentral:rRNA from 1 species
AAAACAUGUCUGCUUGUUAAUAGUUGUAAGCAGUCUGGCCUGCCCACUGACAAUAGUUUAAGGGCCGCGGUAUCCUGACCGUGCGAAGGUAGCAUAAUAAUUAGUCUCCUAAUUAGAGGCUUGUAUGAAUGGUCGGACAAGAUGGAGUCUGUCUCAGUGUAAGUAAAUAUAAAUUAAUUUUUGAGUAAAAAAGCUCAAAUAUAGUAAAAUGACGAUAAGACCCUAUAAAGCUUUAUAAUUUUUUCCUUCUAUGUAAAGUAUAAAAAUAUUAAAAUGUUGAAAAGAGUAAAUUAUUUUACUGGGGCGGUAAAAGUAUAAGAAAUAACUGCUUUUAUUUUGAAUAACAACUAUUAUUGGAAUUUAAAUUGAUCCAUUAAUAAUGAUCAUAAGAACAAGUUACUUUAGGGAUAACAGCGUAAUUUUCUUUGAGAGUCCUUAUCGAAAAGAAAGUUUGCGACCUCGAUGUUGAAUUAAGGGUUACCUUAAGGUGCAGCAGCUUUAAAGGUGGAUCUGUUCGAUCUUUAAUUCCUUACGUGAUCU